rnacentral:rRNA from 1 species
UACAGGGGGGGCAAGCGUUGUUCGGAAUUACUGGGCGUAAAGGGUUCGUAGGUGGCCACUUAAGUCAGACGUGAAAUCCCCAGGCUUAACUUGGGAACUGCGUCUGAUACUGGGAGGCUUGAGUGCGGGAGAGGGAUGUGGAAUUCCAGGUGUAGCGGUGAAAUGCGUAGAUAUCUGGAGGAACACCGGUGGCGAAGGCGGCAUCCUGGACCGACACUGACGCUCAGGUGCGAAAGCGUGGGGAGCAAACAGG